GAACUGCGAUAAGUAAUGUGAAUAGCAGAAUUCAGUGAAUCAUCGAGUCUUUGAACGCACAUUGCGCCCCCUGGCAUUCCGGGGGGCAUGCCUGUCCGAGCGUCAUUGCUGCCCUUCAAGCCCGGCUUGUGUGUUGGGUCGUCGUCCCCUCCGGGGGACGGGCCCGAAAGGCAGCGGCGGCACCGCGUCCGGUCCUCGAGCGUAUGGGGCUUUGUCACCCGCUCGAUAAGGACCGGCCGGGCGCCAGCCGGCGUCUCCAACCUUUUUUUCUCAGGUUGACCUCGGAUCAGGUAGGGAUACCCGCUGAACUUAAGC
rnacentral:misc_RNA from 1 species